AAUCAAGAUUAGUGUUGUGGUGUAUGGCAAGCCGUUCUCGUCAAAACUAUGUUUAAACCAUUUUUCGAAAAAUUUACACACUGAGAAUUACAAUUACACACUGAGAAUUAAAAAUUACACACUGAGAAUUAAAAAUUACACACUGAGAUUUCAUCAAGACGCACUGAGAUUACAAAAAUGAAAAACACACACUGAGAAUUGAAAAUUACACACUGAGAUUUCAAAAAGACACACUGAGAAUAAAUAAACUGAAAACACAC
rnacentral:lncRNA from 1 species